AGUGUGCACAAUCAAAGAAUAGAGCGACUGUGGAGAGACCUCUGGGUGGCCGUUACAUGCAUUUACUACGAUGUUCUUCACAACCCUGAGGAAGAAGGCCUUCUUGACAUUUCAAAUGCUGCACACCUCUUUUGCUGCCAUUACAUCUUUCUUCCUCGACUAGAGGAUAAUUUUAAUACAUUUUGCAGUGGAUGGGACAACCAUCCACUGCGAACAGAAAACAACAUGAGUCCCCCAACCAGCUGUGGGAGUUGGGUCACAGAUAUUACCCUGUUCCUGUUCCAGAAAACACACAGCUUAUCACACAUUUGAUUUC